UUUCCACCUACGAAACCCACACAACUCCGGAAAUAUAUAUCAAUAUUCAAUAAUAUUGAAUAUUAGUUCGCUUUUGAAAUAAUUUGAAACAGUAGUAAAUUGUAAACAAAACUUUUGGAACUCUCACAAAGACAUGGAAAACGAAGAACCAGAAAGUUAUAAAACCCUGAGAAACCGCACAGUUUACUAUACUGAGCCGAAGAGAAGGAGGCGAAACAGCAGACCAAGGGAGCCAGUUGAAGUCCAUGAGGAUCCCCAAAUCGGUGAAGGUCCCCAAAUCGAUGAAGGUCCCCAAAUCAAUGAAGGUCCCCAAAUCGAUGAAGGUCCCCAAAUCGAUGAAGAUCCCCAAAUCGCUGAAGGUCCCCAAAUCAAUGAAGGUCCCCAAAUCAAUGAAGGUCCCCAAAUCAAUGAAGAUCCCCAAAUCGCUGAAGUUCCCCAAAUCGAUGGAGAUCCAUUCCAAGUCGGCGAUGGAAGGCCCGAAGCCGAAGCGAAUAAUCAAGGACGCUCGAGAAUUAGAAAUAUAUACGGUUCCUGCGUAAUAUGCUAGAGGCCCAUCUCUCUAAAUCGGGGGAAAUCAUUGUGGAAAAUAGUGUAGAUAGUGAGACAGAGGAAUCCGAACCCAAGUCAGUGGAGAUAUAGUAGUCGAAAAUAGUGCGAUGCCAAGGUGAUGUACAUAUUGAAGUAGUUCCAUUUAUGAUGCAAUUGAAACAAACGCACAACCCCAAAAACAAGUUAAUAUUUCUCAUUCCAAAGCAGAAGUUCAUACGAUGAUUUCUAUAUAUUUUAUAUAAUGUUCAUUUUGUUUACACGGGCACAGGUCGAAAGUGCCUUUGAACCUGUGUGUGCCACCGACUGAAACAAAAAGCCACGAUGUCGGCACAAAGGAGCAGCGGCCAGUUCUAAGGACUCUCAAUCUGGAAGCGAACCAAUCAGUUGUCCUUUGUGCGCUGGCACCUUUGUCGCCUGGACACCCCAUUUAUGCAUUUAUUCAUUUUUUAUGUUUAUCUCCUCCUUUGCUCCUCUGCUUCCCUUUGGCCCGCCUGUUUUCCUGUUCGCCAUGCACUGUGAGAAAAGUGAGGGAUAUACGCAAUACCAUUUCAAGUUCUAUGCUUUCAAGUUUCCGCAAACUUGAACCGAGUUUGUCCCAUUUUCGUGUUUUGUGCAUUUUACAAAUUUCACCGUUCUUAUUUGAUUAAAAUUAACAAAUAUGUCGCAAAAA